rnacentral:rRNA from 1 species
AAUGCCUAGGAAUCUGCCUGGUAGUGGGGGAUAACGUUCGGAAACGGACGCUAAUACCGCAUACGUCCUACGGGAGAAAGCAGGGGACCUUCGGGCCUUGCGCUAUCAGAUGAGCCUAGGUCGGAUUAGCUAGUUGGUGAGGUAAUGGCUCACCAAGGCGACGAUCCGUAACUGGUCUGAGAGGAUGAUCAGUCACACUGGAACUGAGACACGGUCCAGACUCCCACGGGAGGCAGCAGUGGGGAAUAUUGGACAAUGGGCGAAAGCCUGAUCCAGCCAUGCCGCGUGUGUGAAGAAGGUCUUCGGAUUGUAAAGCACUUUAAGUUGGGAGGAAGGGUUGUAGAUUAAUACUCUGCAAUUUUGACGUUACCGACAGAAUAAGCACCGGCUAACUCUGUGCCAGCAGCCGCGGUAAUACAGAGGGUGCAAGCGUUAAUCGGAAUUACUGGGCGUAAAGCGCGCGUAGGUGGUUUGUUAAGUUGGAUGUGAAAUCCCCGGGCUCAACCUGGGAACUGCAUUCAAAACUGACUGACUAGAGUAUGGUAGAGGGUGGUGGAAUUUCCUGUGUAGCGGUGAAAUGCGUAGAUAUAGGAAGG